AACGCCAUGGCUGUCAGUGAACUCACAGACAAACUUGGGCUGCAGAGUCUACGCAGUAGAACGUGGUAUGUUCAAGCGACCUGCGCUACACAAGGCACCGGACUCUAUGAAGGACUGGACUGGUUAUCAAACGAGCUCUCCAAACACUAGUGUGCCUGCUUAUAUUGGCGAGAUGCGUGUGAACUUUAGAAAGACGGAGUGUGUGGGUUGAUAGACUCUGUCUUGAAGAACUUGAGUGAGUUUGUGUGUGUGUGUGUGUGUGUGUGUGUGUGGAGGAGCUAUCAAGUGUUCAGCAUCAUGUCUAAUCUAUCUUAUCUGUCUUUUUCUAUGCUGUAUUCCUACUAAUGUUCUUUUAAUUUUUUUUCGUACAAAUCUGAUUGUUUUCAUGACUAAGAUAAUGCUUAAAUUGCACGUUUACUUGAUAACUGUGAGAGCAUUAUGGCACAACAGAAAGGAAGUUUGGGAGGAAUUCCAGGUCGAGGCGUCCCUCUCGUGCAAGUUUGGGGUAGUUGUAGCUUAAGAGCGAGUAAAUGCCAGGAAGAAGCCAUUGUGCAUUGACGCUCACUCCAAGAUCCCUGUUGCAGUGCUGCCUAACUUGACUAGUGACUCGCAGGAUUCGCCACUCCAUGAACACUCCAUUUCAUGGCAGUUAUUUUUAUUCCAGGGGGUUGUAUUGCAAAGCUACACAUUAACUUUUGUUGCAGAAGCCUCCUAAGUCUUGUUUCAGAGACUUUGCCACCAACAGAUUCUUUGGAACAAAAUGGUACAUGAAGUAUUGACAGCAAUAUGGAGUCAUCCAUGAUUGAUUAGCCCAAUGAUCUCUAACCGCCUUUGAUGUUAAAUACCUCCAUUGAACAAUAAGUAAGUAAAUGUUUUAGUUGAAAGCAUUUGAACAGAUCAUAGUACCUUGCCUGAUUUUUCUGAGGUGGGUUGGACCGGGAUGAAUUGUUUCUUCAGUCUGCUCCAUAUUUCUUUUCUCUGUUCAUGUCAAACGGAUGUAUGUAUGUAUGCUGGCACCUUUAAUAUCGGCGAUUAAGGUGCAUUCAGUGAGAAUUUUGUAUGGGACACUCCAGUACACCAAUAAGGUCCUCAUUUCCUGAGCAGGAUUUUCUGAUCUACUCUUGCUCGAACUGUGCCACAAGGUCCACCCCUGUGAGAAAAUAAAGAUCUGAUAAAAACUAAA